AUGUUUUGAAUCUCCCAUUUCUGAUCGCAAGCAAAUUUAGAGAAAGAGUGCAGGGAAUUCAACAAAAGACCCAAGAGUAAGAUAUCGGAAUAAUGUAUUGAAAUAAGUGGGUUUCUCAAAUAAUGUUUUGAAUCUCCCAUUUCUGAUCGUUAGCAGUUCAACGGUCUGCGUGCAAAUUAAAUGGUAUAAACAUCAUGUUCUUACUCAUCACAGUCUGAAUAAUCAAACCCUUAGUCGGAUGAUAUAUUUUGCACACUCCUUCUUGAAUCAAUAUAGCCAAACCCCUUUCUUGAAGUUGUCCUAUGCUCAAGAGAUUGUUUUUUAGCUCUGGAACAUAGUACACUUCAUGGACAAUAUGAUUGAUUCCAUUUACAACAAGCUUGACACUUCCCUUGCCAAUCACAUUCAUUCUACUGUUGUUUCCCAAUUUAACUGAAUGAACAAAGCUUUCAUCUAGGUUUGUGAACAUAUCCCGAUUGCCACACAUAUGGUUGGAACAUCCUGAGUCAAGAAACCAAGCAUCAGUCCGUUCAUGUGACUCAACAUAUGACAUCAAUAACAUAUCAUCUUCUUCAUUCAUUUCUGCAUAAUUAGCCUCCUUAUCCCAUUUUGGACAUUCAUACUGGUAGUGUCCAAGAUUGUGACACUUGUAGCAUUCCACCAUAUCCUUGUUGAACGCUUGGCCUCCUCUUCCAUGUCCUUGUCCUCUAUAAUUGCUUCUUCCUCGUCCUCUAUAAUUGCUGCUACCCCCUUCAGUUUUGACAUCCGUUGUUACCUUCAGAGCUUGCUCCACACCGCUGCUUCUGUGAAAUUUUUGCUCAUGUACAGUAAGCCAGCUUUGAAGCUCAUCAAUGGUAAUUUCAUCCAAGUCCCUAGAUUCCUCAAUCGAACAAACUAUAUAAUUAAAUUUGUCCGUGAGAGAUCGCAGGAUUUUUUCACAGAUCGUGACAUCAGUCAUGGUCUCUCCAUGCACUCUCAUCUUGUUUGCUACUGUCAUCACUCUAGCAAAGUAAUUAGUGAUUAUUUCACCAACCUUCAUCUCAAGAGUCUCAAAAUUCCUUCGUAGAGCUUGAAGAGUUGAACCCUUCACUCGAGCAUUCCCUUCAUAUUUCGUCUUCAUGGAAUCUCAGAUCUUCUUGGAGGUGUCCUUUUCCAACAUUGUCUCUAGGAUACUUCUAUCGAUUGCUUGGAAAAGAUAGUUUUUGGCUUUGAGAUCCUUGAGUUUCACUGCAUCAAGCUCUUUCUGUCGUGCUUCUGAUAGGGGUUGCGCCCCUUUUGCUGGUUCUUCAUAACUAAUUUCAAUCAAACUCCAAUACUCCUUGCUUCGAAGGAAAUUUUCCAUGAGCAUGCUCCAAUGGUCAUAAUGACCAUCAAAACGUGGAAUGGAAGGCUGCACAAAGCUUCCUUCAGAAGUCAUUUUCCUCUCUUUCUUUCUUGUGUUUGGAAGUCACUCAAAAGCUGCAGCUUUUCAGUUCUCAAGCCCCAGUGAGGGGCUCUGAUACCAGUUUGUUAGGAACAAGAACGAAUAUACCAAGAGUAAUGCUGCAAAUAACUCAAACAAAC
rnacentral:sRNA from 1 species